rnacentral:rRNA from 1 species
UACGAGGGGGGCGAGCGUUGUUCGGAAUUAUUGGGCGUAAAGGGUGCGUAGGCGGUUUGGUAAGUCUUGUGUGAAAUCUACAGGCUCAACUUGUAGUCUGCACGAGAAACUGCCGGGCUUGAGUGUGGGAGAGGUGAGUGGAAUUCCUGGUGUAGCGGUGGAAUGCGCAGAUAUCAGGAGGAACACCAAUAGCGAAGGCAGCUCGCUGGGACGUUACUGACACUGAGGCGCGAAAGCGUGGGGAGCGAACAGG